rnacentral:rRNA from 1 species
UUUCUUUAGAUAAAUUUUAAAGGUAAUACCUGCUCAAUGAAUAUUAAAUUGCCGCAGUAUUAUGACUGUGCUAAGGUAGCAUAAUAAUUUGUCUUUUAAAUGGAGACUAGAAUGAAAGGUUUUAUGGGGGGAUGUUGAUGAUUUAAUGAAUUAUUGAAAUUAAGAUUUAAGUUAAAAUUCUUAAGUUUGUUUGAGGGACGAGAAGACCCUGUGGAUCUUUAUUUUGUUAAUAAUAAGUUAUUAUAAAUGUUUUAUUAUUUAAAAAAUUUGAUUGGGACGAUUAUUAUUUUAACAUAAUUUUUGGAAUUUGUGUUGAUCCUAUAAAAGGAAUUAAGAUUAAGUUACCCCAGGGAUAACAGCGUUAUAUUACUGGAUAGUUCAUAUUGAUAGUAAUGUUUGCGACCUCGAUGUUGAAUUAAAAUUUCUUUUUAAAGUAGAAGUUAAAUUAGUAAGUCUGUUCGACUUUUAAAAUUUU